rnacentral:tRNA from 1 species
GCACGGGCCUGCCGGACGAGGGCCCGCCGCGGCUGCCGUCCAUCGGCGCGGAUCCCGCGGAGCGGCGCGGGGUGGCGGGUUCGGACCACGCGCCGGUGUG